UACAAGGGGAACAAGCGUUAUUCACCCUGAAUAGGUCUAAAGGGGCUGUAGGCUGCACACAACCCUGCGGAACAAUGACAAAUACUAGGCGGGUAGGAAGAUAGAGUAACUAGAACGAAAGCUUCGAAUAACUAUCUUAACCAGUGGGCUAGAGUGCGAUGCAGGAAGCAGGAAUACCAGGAGUAGGGAUGGAAUCCGC
rnacentral:rRNA from 1 species